GACGAACGCUGGCGGCGUGCUUAACACAUGCAAGUCGAGCGGUAAGGCCCUUUCGGGGGUACACGAGCGGCGAACGGGUGAGUAACACGUGGGUGACCUGCCCUUAGCUCUGGGAUAAGCCUGGGAAACUGGGUCUAAUACCGGAUAUGACUCCAUGACGCAUGUUGUGGGGUGGAAAGCCUCGUGCGGCUAGGGAUGGGCCCGCGGCCUAUCAGCUUGUUGGUGGGGUNAUGGCCACCAAGGCGACGACGGGUAGCCGGCCUGAGAGGGCGACCGGCCACACUGGGACUGAGACACGGCCCAGACUCCUACGGGAGGCAGCAGUGGGGAAUCUUGCGCAAUGGGCGAAAGCCUGACGCAGCGACGCCGCGUGGGGAUGACGGCCUCGG
rnacentral:rRNA from 1 species